CGGUGAUCACACAGACAGACCCAGUCACUCUGAACUGCCAGGCUCCAUCACAUCUCACUUUGUCUGACUGUUAUUUUCGUAUGGUGAGAGGAAAAACUGGCAGACGUCUCCCUUGUCUGCACACGCAUACAGGAAGUGAGUUGCUGAGGCUCUCCAAUCAGAGUUCACCUGCUGAGGUUCAAGUGACGUGCCUUUACCUUCACGUGUCUCAGUCUCCGGACAGUGAUCUAUCCUCCAUUGUCAUUUGAACUCUUCUUCCACCGACCCUGAGAGUGAGUCCAGCGGUGACCAACGAGACCGACUCAGUCACCCUGCACUGUCAGACUCCUUCAUCUGUUUCUGUGCCUCGGUGUUAUUUCUUCACUCCAAGUGGAGGAACUGUAAGAGAGCUCUCAUGUCUGCAGACGCUGACAGGAAGUGAGCUGCUGAAGAUGGCCCAUCAGAGUCCCCCCGCUGGCGUUCAGCUGACGUGUUUCUACACUGUGAAGGUUGGAGAGAAAAGUUAUCCAUCGCCACACAGUGACACAUCGUCCAUCACCAUACACAGGAGGACUGUUGGUACAACAAGUACCACUGGUACAAGUAUCUCUACUUUCCCAACAUCAGUCAAACCAGCAGCAG